UACAGAGGGGGCAAGCGUUAUUCGGAAUUAUUGGGCGUAAAGGGCGCGUAGGCGGCCUGGCAAGUGGAAGGUGAAAUCCCUCGGCUUAACCGAGGAACUGCCCUCCAAACUGCUUGGCUUGAGUCCGGGAGAGGUGAGUGGAAUUCCCAGUGUAGCGGUGAAAUGCGUAGAUAUUGGGAGGAACACCUGUGGCGAAAGCGGCGCACUGGACCAUAACUGACGCUGAUGCGUGAAAGCUAGGGGAGCAAACAGG
rnacentral:rRNA from 1 species